rnacentral:rRNA from 1 species
GAGUUUGAUCCUGGCUCAGGAUGAACGCUGGCGGCGUGCCUAACACAUGCAAGUCGAACGGAUCCAUAUUGAAACCUAGUGAUGUAUGGAUUAGUGGCGGACGGGUGAGUAACGCGUGGAUAACCUGCCGUAUACAGGGGAUAACACUUAGAAAUAGGUGCUAAUACCGCAUAAGCGCACGGUUCCGCAUGGAACAGUGUGAAAAACUCCGGUGGUAUACGAUGGAUCCGCGUCUGAUUAGCCAGUUGGCGGGGUAACGGCCCACCAAAGCGACGAUCAGUAGCCGGCCUGAGAGGGUGAACGGCCACAUUGGGACUGAGACACGGCCCAAACUCCUACGGGAGGCAGCAGUGGGGAAUAUUGCACAAUGGGGGAAACCCUGAUGCAGCGACGCCGCGUGAGUGAAGAAGUAUUUCGGUACGUAAAGCUCUAUCAGCAGGGAAGAAAAAAGUACCUUUGGACUUUGGACGGUACCUGACUAAGAAGCCCGGCUAACUACGUGCCAGCCGCCGCCGUAAG